rnacentral:rRNA from 1 species
UACGAGGGAUGCAAGCGUUAUCCGGAAUUAUUGGGCGUAAAGCGUUUGUAGGCGGGCGAGUGUGUUUAAUGUUAAAUCUUAAAGCUCAACUUUGAAAUUGCGUUAAAAACUGCUUGUCUUGAGUAUGGUAGGGGUAAAGGGAAUUCCCAGUGUAGCGGUGAAAUGCGUAGAUAUUGGGAAGAACACUAAACAGCGAAGGCACUUUACUAGGCUAAUACUGACGCUGAGAAACGAAAGGUAAGGUAGCGAAACGGAUUAGAUACCCGUGUAGUCUUACCCGUAAACUAUGGACACUAAACGGUAAAUUUUUAAUUUACUGUUAAAGCUAACGCGUUAAGUGUCCCGCCUGGGGAGUAUGCUUGCAAAAGUGAAACUCAAAGGAAUUGACGGGGGCCCGCACAAGCGGUGGAGCAUGUGGUUUAAUUCGACGGUACACGAAGAACCUUACCAGGAUUUGACAUGCUAGAUAGUUGCUUGAAAGAGUAACGUGCCGUAAGGAAUCUAGACACAGGUGGUGCAUGGCUGUCGUCAGUUCGUGUUGUGAAAUGUUGGGUUAAGUCCCGCAACGAACGCAACCCUUGUCUUUAGUUAUUUUCUAAAGGGACUGCCUGUAAUAAACAGGAGGAAGGUAAGGAUGAGGUCAAGUCAUCAUGCCCCUUAUGUCCUGGGCUACACACGUGCUACAAUGGGAAAGACAAUGAGCUGCAAAUCUGUAAAUUUAAGCAAAUCUCUUAAACUUUCUCGUAGUUCGGAUUGUGGGCUGCAACUCGCCCACAUGAAGUUGGAAUCGCUAGUAAUCGCCAGUCAGCUAUAUGGCGGUGAAUCCGUUCCCGGGCCU